rnacentral:lncRNA from 1 species
AUUUUUAUUUUACAUCUGGUUGUAUUUCUGUGAUGUGAUGUACGUCAACGAUUAAGUUGAAGACAAGGCAUGAGAUGAACGGUGAUCUAAGCGGUUGAUGGCGAUGGGAUCAAGAGUUGAUCAAGGAUCGAAUCAAGGAGGCUUGGAACCAAUUCAAGAGUUGAAGAUCAGUUGAUCAAUUGACGUGCAUGUGCUUGUAAUACGACCUAAUUAGAAUCCAUGAUCAUCACCUAGUUAAAGUUUAGCUUUAUUUGAUGCUGCGAUUAUAACUGCCUGUGAUGUGCCGUUUGCAUGUGAUGUGAAUG